UACCAGCACCCCGAGUGGUCGGGACGAUUAUUGGGCCUAAAGCAUCCGUAGCCGGUUCUACAAGUCUUCCGUUAAAUCCACCUGCUUAACAGAUGGGCUGCGGAGGAUACUAUGGAGCUAGGAGGCGGGAGAGGCAAGCGGUACUUAGUGGGUAGGGGUAAAAUCCGUUGAUCCAUUGAAGACCACCAGUGGCGAAGGCGGCUUGCCAGAACGCACUCGACGGUGAGGGAUGAAAGCUGGGGGAAGCAAACCGGG
rnacentral:rRNA from 1 species